CACGCUUGACAUGUCUCGUAUGGUUUCCAGAGAUGGAUUCCUUCAGUUCGGCUGGCGAGAACACAGGUGCUGCAUGGCUGUCGUCAGCUCGUGUCGUGAGAUGUUGGGUUAAGUCCCGCAACGAGCGCAACCCUCGCUACUAGUUGCUACCAGGUUAAGCUGAGCACUCUAGUGGAACUGCCGGUGGCAAGCCGGAGGAAGGUGGGGAUGACGUCAAGU
rnacentral:rRNA from 1 species